GGUCAAAGAGCCUCUGCUCCCCUCAGGAGGGCAAGGACAGUGAGUGAGACGGUUGAGGGGACCAGGGGCCUCUCGGGCUUCCGGCCCCUCCCCCACCCUCCAGUGGCAGUUGGCUGUGGUUGGGGUUUCCAGGGCGGCCGUGCAAGGCUCUGAAUGUGCUUUGGCAGUUGGCCUGCGGAACAUCCCCGUCUCCCGUGCAGUUCCUGGGUGCAGAACUCUCCGGAAGCAGGGGCUUCUAAACGGCUCAACCCAGACCUCCCGCUCAGGCCGGGCUGCUCUGCCCCCAGCGGUCGGAGGCCAGGCAGCCGCGUCUGAAACUCACUGACUUGAUGGCUCCCGGUGGCAGCCGGGGGGCAUCAUGGAAAGGGGGGCAUGAGGAGUUGCCUUGGCCGGGAUUUCAGGGGGCUGGGAAGGCUCCCGCCUUUGCCAAGAAACUCUCCUCUCCUCCCAGGGGCUUCCUCCCCUCUCUCAAAUACACGCCGGCCCACCACGAAAGACCCUCCAAGAAACAGUUACCAGAAGCCAUGACGUGUCCCUGCCGCCGGAGGCCUUCCAGGGAGGGCCGAAGAGGCCUCCGGGGCCCAGCGUUAGGUGCGGACGAAGGAAGAGAAAGUUUGGACCCCAGCUCAAGGAAGGAGGCAAAGAAACUCAAAGGGGAGGCACCAUCCAAUACCCCACAGGCCUCAGUUGGAAAUGACAAGAAGCUUCCAGGUCAGACGCCAUCCCCUGGUCCCCUGGAGGAGGUUUCAGUCCUGCCGAAGUCACACAGCCUCUUCACCCACUUUUGAGCUAGUCCCAAGAAGAGCCCCUCCCUCACCAGACUCUUGGUGUGUGAUGCCAUGACGCGUGCUCAUGGCCGACCCCGUUCCAUAUUGACCUGCUUUUCAAUCCCAGGCUAAGGCUGCAUUCUCGUUGUCUCGAUACCUCUUCCUCGUGUGCUCCUAGAGGGCAAGACACUGUUUCUCAUGCAUUUCUGGAUCCCUGGAGAUUAGUUUAGCGCUUGGUAUGCGUGCCCAGCACAUCCUGUUUUUGAAUAAAAUUAUUUCAAAAUGGCGUCUACA
rnacentral:lncRNA from 1 species